rnacentral:rRNA from 1 species
UACAGAGGUGCCAAGCGUUAGGCGGAAUCACUGGGCUUAAAGCGCGUGUAGGCGGGUCGUUAAGUGUCUUGUGAAAUCCCACGGCUCAACCGUGGAACUGCUGGGCAUACUGACGAUCUUGAGGCACUCAGGGGCGAGCGGAACAGAUGGUGGAGCGGUGAAAUGCGUAGAUAUCAUCUGGAACGCCAAUGGUGAAGACAGCUCGCUGGGGGUGUACUGACACUGAGACACGAAAGCCAGGGGAGCAAACGGG